ACGUCUGUUUCCCAGAAACAGUCUUAUAGUCGUUGUGUUUGGUGUAUUUAGGCGGUAUUCCAAGUGUUCUGUUCUUUAUCAUUCCUGGUAUUCUCGAGAUGUUUAUAAUACUCAAGAGUCGAUGUUCAGGCCAUCCAUACGAAGGAAUUCCCCUCGACCAAACCCACAAAUUCGGGAGAACAAACAGCAAUUUUUCUUUGUCCUAAUUGUAAAAGAGCCAACUUCAUCGUCAGUGUUUAGUUAUACAAAAAUAUGCCAAAAAACUGUUGUGCUGUUCAAUCUACAUGUAACCAGGUCAAAAAUCUGAAUAUACAGUUCACAGUGUUCCACGUAGGGAAAUAGAUUCUGUGAGAAGAGCCAUGUGGCUUCAGGCUAUUCCGUGUGGGACGUGGGGACCCGGUGUCCAAGUAGCUAUGUGUGUGGAAAACAUUUCUUCACAGAUUUCUGUUCUCUCAUUACCUCUGGAAGAACAAACUGUUACAGCCUCGACCAGAGAGAAGUCUGUGUUUUACAGCUGAGCGACACGUCUCCUUCCUGCUCCAGCAACAGCUGGUCAGAGAGAUCAGUCUGUCAAGGGACAACUUUAUACUACACCUUUACCACACCACAGAGACUGUCCAGACGCCAGAGGAAAGAGACUCGGUAUCCAUUUCAGUCCAACGGCCACAGCACUGGUGGAUGUCUGCAUUCCACUUCCUGUCUUGUAAAAGCCCUGUGUGGAUAGACAUCUCUUGCUCUGUGAUUUGUUGCACGGGUGGUAGACUUUGAUCCGUUAUCAGGAGACAGGCAGCAGGCCCUUAAACACACAACAUUCUAGAAGGAGGUCAAAGAGCAUAUUAGCAAAGGUGAAAUGGAGCCUCGACUGCUAGACUGGUACCUCCGUUACUGGAGCUCUGCUGCUUGUUCAGACAGUUGUUUGUUUGUACAACGUGGCUGUUGGUAUGUUACCUUCUUUCAAUAAUCCCUCCCAACAAAGGCAUUAUCUGACCUUGACCGUUCUUAUGGGAUACUGCAGGUAGAAAAGAGAAGCUGUUCUAAUCUUGCAUGUGUAACAGAUGUGAAACGGCUAGCUUAGUUAGCGUGGGCGCUAAAUAGCGUUUCAAUCAGUGACGUCACUUGCUCUGAGACCUUGAAGUAGUAGUUCCCCUUGCUCUGCAAGGGCCGCGGCUUUUGUGGAGCGAUGGGUAACGAUGCUUCGAGGGUGACUGUUGAUGUGUGCAGAAGGUCCCUAGUUCGCGCCCGGGUAUGGGCGAGGGGACGGUCUAAAUUUGUACUGUUACACAUGUACCACUAGGAGCUUAGAGCAAUUUUACAUGCCAGCAACAAAAAACAACAUUAAAAGCAGCAUAUUCGAUGAUUGUUCAAAAGUGUGAUUUUUUGUGAUUUAAUAUGGAUUUUUAUUUUUUUUUUAUCAAUGGGCUUAGUUUGCUUGACCCAAAUGCUUUGAUUCUACCUAUGUUAUUCCCACAAUUCUCACCUCCAUAUUCUAAAGUGGUAUUGUCCGAUUGACGCACUCACUUUAGAGCGUGGCUACUGCUUGUGAUUCCUGUCUGUGUGUAUAAAAGGAUCUGCAUUGUGUUUGGUCUAUGUUCACUCAAAUCAAUCUUGUGAACUCUUCACAUUCGUGAAUGCUUGGGUAGAGCUCCUUCUCUGCUCCUGUAGUUUAAACCUUCAUAGUUCUCCUGG